rnacentral:rRNA from 1 species
GAUGAACGCUGGCGGCGUGCUUAACACAUGCAAGUCGAACGAAGCACUUUAUUUGAUUUUCUUCGGAAAUGAAGAUUUUGUGACUGAGUGGCGGACGGGUGAGUAACGCGUGGAUAACCUGCCUCAUACAGGGGGAUAACAGCCGGAAACGGCUGCUAAUACCGCAUAAGCGCACGGUACCGCAUGGUACAGUGUGAAAAACUCCGGUGGUAUGGGAUGGAUCCGCGUCUGAUUAGCCAGUUGGCAGGGUAACGGCCUACCAAAGCGACGAUCAGUAGCCGACCUGAGAGGGUGACCGGCCACAUUGGGACUGAGACACGGCCCAAACUCCUACGGGAGGCAGCAGUGGGGAAUAUUGCACAAUGGGGGAAACCCUGAUGCAGCGACGCCGCGUGAGCGAAGAAGUAUUCGGUAUGUAAAGCUCUAUCAGCAGGAAGAUAAUGACGGUACCUGACUAAGAAGCCCGGCUAACUACGUGCCAGC